GGCCUCCGUAGCUCAGUGGUUAGAGCACUGGUCUUGUAAACCAGGGGUCAAGAGUUCAAAUCUCUUCGGGGCUU
rnacentral:tRNA from 1 species